UCCGGUAGACAGGUGAAGCGCUAGUACACUCAACAGAAAGGAUACCGUUCGUUUACAGUAUACUAAAAUGAACUAAUAGUAUGUAGUAUACAGUACGUUAGUAUGGGUAUUCGAACACAGCUCAGGUUACAAUUGAUUGAGCAAGUUCCACCAAAGAAGCUCAGAUGUUAGCUGUCAUGGUUGAAAUCCACUCCCAGUUAGACGGGGUCUCCGUCAGCUCCACAAUGCCCUGAGGACGUGAAGGACAUCCAGAACUCCCUGGCAGAAGUCGGCAAUUACUCCAGGCAAGGCAUCAACACCAUUGAGAACCUGAAGGACGUAAAAUAUGCUGUCAGCUAGCCUCAGCCGUGGAGAACCUGGAGAAUAUAUUUUCAGUGCCUGAGAUGGUGGCAGACACUCUGUUAAUGAUAGAGGGCCACCACAAGCUGGUUAACCUGGAGUGCUAGUGGAAUGACCUCAUGUACGAUCAGAGCACUUCCUCCCAGCUGCCCACUGCACUGAGGCUAGGAAACACUAUCACCACCGA